rnacentral:rRNA from 1 species
UACGUAGGGGGCAAGCGUUGUCCGGAUUCAUUGGGCGUAAAGAGCUCGUAGGCGGCUUGGCAAGUCGGGUGUGAAACCUCCAGGCUCAACCUGGAGACGCCACCCGAUACUGCUAUGGCUAGAGUCCGGUAGGGGACCACGGAAUUCCCGGUGUAGCGGUGAAAUGCGCAGAUAUCGGGAGGAACACCGGUGGCGAAGGCGGUUCUCUGGGCCUUACCUGACGCUGAGGAGCGAAAGCGUGGGGAGCGAACAGG